rnacentral:rRNA from 1 species
AGGAUAAACGCUGGCGGCGUGCCUAACACAUGCAAGUCGAACGUCCUUGCGGUCUUCUUCUUCGGAGGAGGACCGCGAGGGAGUGGCGGACGGGUGAGUAACACAUGGGUACCUGCCUUUCAGUGAGGAAUACCGGCGAGAAAUCGCCGACAAGACCGCAUAGGCUUCCUUCGGUAGCCCGAGGGAAGCAAAGUUACUUCGCGAGAGGUGACGCUGGAAGAGGGGCCUGUGGCCGAUUAGCUAGUUGGGGGGUAACGGCCUCCCAAGGCGACGAUCGGUAGCUGGUCUGAGAGGACGAUCAGCCACACUGGGAUUGAGAACGGCCCAGACUCCUACGGGGGGCAGCAGUGAGGAAUUUUCGGCAAUGGGGGCAACCCUGACCGAGCAACGCCGCGUGCAGGACGACGGCCUUCGGGUUGUAAACUGCUUUUCUCUGGGACGAGCAAGGACGGUACCAGAGGAAGAAGCCCCGGCUAACUACGUGCCAGCAGCCGC